GCAACCAAGACGCUUAAGGUUAGUACAGGCAUUCCUCCUCUGAAUUUCAUUACGAAUGCCAGACACAGGGACACGCAGCUGGAUGGCCACUCAAGCCAAACAGUUUGCCAGGACGAACGGACUAGAGCAUCCGAAGACCAAAGGACGCCGGUCAGGCAUUCAAGUUGCCAGGAUGGGACAACAAAACAAGGCAGCUGCCUCCAGUCAAGUCAAGUGGAAAGCGGUCCUGUUGUCCCGGGCAAAGGAUGUUAUUGCAUGGGAAUGGGAUAGCCGAGAGUCCGCACGGCUAUUUCAAUUGCUGUCUGUAGUUGAUAUAAUCGACAUUAUGCGGACGUAUUUAUGCAGCUCAUGUGGAGGUAAUUUGUCGAAAAAUUGGACAUCAAUGAAUAAUAAAUAAUAAACCAAGA